GCCCAGGUAGCUCAGUUGGUAGAGCAUACGACUGAAAAUCGUAGUGUCGGUGGUUCGAUCCCGCCCCUGGGCACCA
rnacentral:tRNA from 1 species